CAGACAAGCCACAAUGCUCCGCAGAGGCUUCGGCUCUCUCCAGUACAAACUUAAGAGGAGUUGUUAGAAGAUAUCUUUGGUUCAACUUACAUCUCGGGACUGUUUUGGAGCCACCAUCCUGUUUCCACAGCAAUGAUCUUUACAGCAGAGCAGGUGGCUUGUGUGUGCGAGGUCCUUCUGCAGAGCGGUUACAUGGAUCGUCUUACUGGGUUCCUCUGCACUCUUCCUCCCUCUCCUUCCCUCUCCUCCUCCUCUCGUUGCCCUGGGGAUCUGGAGAGUGUGCUGAAGGCUAAAGCCGCAGUGGCCUUUCACCAGGGCCGCUUCACUGACCUCUACGCCCUGAUAGAGGGCUUCCCCUUCUCCCCAUGCAGCCACCCACUCCUGCAGCAGCUCUGGCUCAGAGCCCACUACAUAGAGGCCGAGAGGCAGAGGGGCCGACCCCUGGGAGCUGUGGGGAAGUAUCGCGUAAGGAGAAAGUUCCCUCUACCACACACCAUCUGGGACGGAGAGGAGACCAGCUACUGUUUCAAGGAAAAAUCUCGGAGUAUACUCCGGGAGUGGUACCACCAUAAACCGUAUCCCUCUACCCGAGACAAGCGCGAGCUCGCGGCAGCCAGCGGCUUGACAACCACACAGGUCAGCAACUGGUUCAAGAACCGCAGGCAGAGGGACCGAACCACGGACGUUACCGGGUCAGUGACGGGGCAGCAGGUCGCUCUCUGGGGAAGUGUCUCAUUUUAAUCAUUUAAUUAUCUCCUACGUACCAACAGCCAGUUAUUUUACAAACAUUUCGACAUAACACGACUUUCCAACAGGAUAAAGUAAUAACUAGUCAAGCUGCUGCACUCACCGCAACCAAAGGAAGCGGAUGGAUACACGGUGACCAAACUAACCGUUGGCGUCUAGUGUCGCGCCAUAAACAAAAGUUUCCACAUAGCUUGCUCUGGAGGACCCUCAGGAGAAAUCUGCCCUUCCUUUGACAACGACUUUUCACCUUCAGGCAGCCCACAUCCCCAAUACCACUGCCCUCCACCUCCUCCACCCCUCUCUCACCCA